AGUGAACGCUGGCGGUAGGCCUAACACAUGCAAGUCGAACGGCAGCACCGUAAGAUCUUGCUCUUACGGGUGGCGAGUCGCGGACGGGUGAGGAAUACAUCGUACCCUACUUUUUCGUGGGGGUUAACGUAGGGAAACUUACUCUAAUACCGCAUACGCCCUACGGUUGAAAGCAGUGGAUCUUCGCACCUUGCGCGAUUGGAUGAGCCGCUUUCGGAUUUGCUGGUUGGGGGGGUAAUGGCCCACCGAGGCGAGGAUCCGUAGCUGGUCUGAGAGGACGGUCGGCCACACGGGAACUGAGACACGGUCCAGAGGCCUACGGGAGGGAGCAGUGGGGAAUGUUGGACAAUGGGCGGAAGCAUGAUCCAGCCAUACCGCGUGGGUGAAGAAGGCCUUCGGGUUGUAAAGCCCGUUUGUUGGGAAAGAAAAGCAGCAGGUUAAGACCCCGCUGUUGUGACGGUACCCAAAGAAUAAGCACCGGCUAACUUCGUG
rnacentral:rRNA from 1 species